GGAGUCUCGCUCUGUCACCCAGGCUGAAGUGCAGUGGCACAAUCUCCGCUCACUGCAAGCUCCGCCUCCUGGGUGCACGCCAUUCUCCUGCCUCAGCCUCCCGAGUAGCUGAGACUAUAGGCGCCCGCCACCACGCCUGGCUAAUUUUUUUUGUAUUUUUAGUAGAGACUGGGUUUCACCAUGUUAGCCAGGAUGGUCUCAAUCUCCUGACCUCGUGAUCUGCCCAUCUCAGCCUCCCAAAGUGCUGGGAUUACAGGCGUGAGCCACCGCACCCAGCCUACAUUUCUUAGCAAUCUUAAAACCUUUCAUUAUUUUAUGAUAAGGUAGCACUUUAGACGGGAGAAGGUUUUAGACCCUGAGUUUUGAUAUGAGAUUAUAUUAUACUACAUUGUCUAGGAAUGAAAAAAAAUCAUAUCAUAGUAGUCAUCAUCUAUUGUAUCACAGUAGUAUGAUAGUAGUUUGAGGUCUGUCUCAUCAAAGCAUGGAUGAAAAUGUUCUUCAUUUGACCAGAAUGUCCAUGUCCCUUAGAGCCAGCAUUCUUAUUCUCUGGACAGCCCUGGACUCACAGGUCAGACCUGCCUCAAAACAAACGAUUCUGUCCCUCUGCCAGGAAAGCUACUGCCCAAUCUCUCUACUUCCCACCAUCAUCAUUUGAAUAUCCACUCAAAGGUCACUUUCUAGCAGACAGACCUCUGUUGCUUCCUCCCCGCAAGCCCAAGCUGAAUCAACUCUCCUGUCAUAGUAGUCAUCAUGGUAGUUAAUGUUGAUUAUUACUGAAAAGGAAAUGGUCCUUUUCAGGCAAAAGGCAUGCACAACAAUACACAAAGGAGGAAAUACAAAUGACCAAAUAACAUAUGGAAAAGUGUUUAAUCUCACUGUAAAUAAAAAUAUAUACAAAUUAAAACAACAGUGAACAAAAUUCUUAACUUAUUAAUGUAUCAAAUAUUUUAUAAAAUUGUUUUUUAUGUAUUCAUUUUUGUAAAUGAGACGCCUAAUAUGAAUGAGGAAACAAGGAAGUGGCUAUUGAUACAUUGCAGGUAGGGA
rnacentral:lncRNA from 1 species